ensembl:snRNA U6 U6 spliceosomal RNA
GUGCUCGCUUCGCCAGCACAUAUACUAAAAUUGGAAUGAUACAGAGAAGAUUAGCAUGGCCCCUGCGCAAGGAUGACAAAAUAAUCGUCCUGAUUAUUGUU